rnacentral:rRNA from 1 species
GACGAACGCUGGCGGCGUGCUUAACACAUGCAAGUCGAACGGUGAAGCGCCUUCCUUUUUGGUGGGUGUGGAUGAGUGGCGAACGGGUGAGUAACACGUGAGUAACCUGCCCCCUUCUUCUGGAUAACCGCAUGAAAGUGUGGCUAAUACGGGAUAUUCUGGGUCUGUCGCAUGAUGGGUCUGGGAAAGAUAUUGUUUCGGUGGGGGAUGGGCUCGCGGCCUAUCGGCUUGUUGGUGGGGUGAUGGCCUACCAAGGCGGUGGCGGGUAGCCGGCCUGAGAGGGUGGACGGUCACACUGGGACUGAGACACGGCCCAGACUCCGACGGGAGGCAGCAGUGGGGAGUAUUGCACAAUGGGCGCAAGCCUGAUGCAGCGACGACGCGUGAGGGAUGGAGGCCUUCGGGUUGUGAACCUCUUUCGCCAGUGAAGCAGGCCUGCCUCGUUUGUGGGUGGGUUGACGGUAGCUGGAUAAGAAGCGCCGGCUAACUACGUG